GUUGAGUCCUCAUCAGAACAGAGACAGGAGAUGGGGAUGUCUGUGCCCCAGUCUUGGUAGCCUUGUACGAGCCCACAGCAUUUGAACUGAAAGUGAAGGAAACAGAACAACAGACACUUUAAAACAUGUAAUGAUUUCCAGAACUAUAAGGCCUUGAAGCCUACUCCAUGGAGACAUCUCCAAUGAAAGAGCUUUUAGUCCAGAACUAUAAGGCCUUGAAGACUACUCCAUGGAGACAUCUCCAAUGAAAGAGCUUUUAGUCCAGAACUAUAAGGCCUUGAAGCCUACUCCAUGGAGACAUCUCCAAUGAAAGAGCUUUUAGUCCAGAACUAUAAGGCCUUGAAGCCUACUCCAUGGAGACAUCUCCAAUGAAAGAGCUUUUAGUCCAGAACUAUAAGGCCUUGAAGCCUACUCCAUGGAGACAUCUCCAAUGAAAGAGCUU